rnacentral:lncRNA from 1 species
GUAAUGUGUUUACUCAUUGCUUCCCAAGAUUAUAGCUUUGCACUGCAGCAUCGAAGGGAAAUUGCCACUCUCCUGUGUUUUUACUGGAAGGCAAGUACGAUGGAGAGAGCCAAAACUCCACUGGAGGCUACAGAUGUUUUGAGAGCCACUGGGGGAAGUGGUCCAGCCGCGGAAUGCCAUCGUCAUCUGAUCACCCUGCGCUUCUGAGUCAGUGGGCCUGGCAGAACCAAG